rnacentral:lncRNA from 1 species
UGAUGAGGUGAGUGUAGGCAACGAGGAUAGCUAUAUAUCGUAUCAUCGUGAGGCUAUUCUUGAACCCCUUCACGCACUAAGCAUGGUGGGAAGAACUUAACUAAGUGCAAUGGAACCAAUAUCAUAUCAUUGUGAGGUUACAUUCUCUAGAGGCCAAAUAAGAUGGGUACUUGCAUUAGUUGCAAAUGAGUAAGCGUACUCUCUCAUUAUUAUUGUUGCUAGCCAUAUAUCGUAUCAUCGUGAGGUGGGCUUGAUAAUAGUGAGCCUCCCAUAACCUACUAAGAGUUUCAUCCAAAACUCUCGAAUUCCAAUGAGGGAUAUGGAAUUUGCCAAAAAUAGUGGGUGAUGCUAUUUGAUUUAAAGACCCGAAUCAAAUGGCUUAAAAUCAAUCAAUUUAUAUACGUUAUGUAUUUGUUUACCAAUAUAUUUGCAAACGCUAUCCAACACUUGACAAAUAAAAGCCGAACGUUUAGUUUACGGACUUGGUACUACAAAACCAUAGAUUGUCUUUAAUGGCUUGUAAAUGUACCUAAGUAGUCUCAUCUCCUCACAAUCUUCCUAUUGAUAAUGUAUCAUUAGAAGAAUAUGUUAGAAAAGGUCUAUCAUAGAGAGGACAACACUUUUAAUGUCAUAAUUCUUCAAUUACAAAUUGUUGUAUGAAGAAAUAGGAGUUGCUUUGAACAACCCUUAGUCAAUGCAAACACUUAGUGCUUGUUUCUUUGUUAAAUGAACAAAGAACUUGAGAAGAAAGCACAAAGGCAUGGACACUUAAUGUGCCAUGAUUCUUCACUUGCAAAUUGUUGUAUGAAGAAAUGAGAGUUGCCUUGUACAACUCUUGAAAGUUUGUAAUUAUGUUUAGAACAU